AUGUGGAGAUGUUCAUUUAUAUCUAAGUGUUACUUUCGUUUGGGGAGGCUUGAUGCAUCACUUAAUGUUAUUGAAAAAUUACAGAAAACAGCAUCUGUCAAUGACAAGUGUAUGAUUGAUAACACUGAAGACUUGCUGUCAUCAGCUACUACAAUACAAGAACUUCUAUAUCACAGGAAAGCAGGAAAUGAGAACUUCAAAUUGGGAAAGUAUACAGAAGCAGUGGAGAACUACACUGCUGAUUUAUCUAGUAAUAUUAAAUCAUGCCCUUUGCAGCAAUAUGUUUUGGCAACCGUGCUACUGCACAUCAAUCUUCAAGCCAAAUUGCUGAUGUCAUUGUAG